UGGGGAAUUUUGGACAAUGGGCGCAAGCCUGAUCCAGCAAUGCCGCGUGAGUGAAGAAGGCCUUCGGGUUGUAAAGCUCUUUUGUCAGGGAAGAAACGGUGCUGGAUAAUACCUGGGGCUAAUGACGGUACCUGAAGAAUAAGCACCGGCUAACUACGUGCCAGCAGCCGCGGUAAUACGUAGGGUGCAAGCGUUAAUCGGAAUUACUGGGCGUAAAGCGUGCGCAGGCGGUUGUGUAAGACAGGUGUGAAAUCCCCGGGCUUAACCUGGGAAUGGCAUUUGUGACUGCACGGCUAGAGUGUGUCAGAGGGGGGUAGAAUUCCACGUGUAGCAGUGAAAUGCGUAGAGAUGUGGAGGAAUACCGAUGGCGAAGGCAGCCCCCUGGGAUAACACUGACGCUCAUGCACGAAAGCGUGGGGAGCAAACAGGAUUAGAUACCCCUGUAGUCC
rnacentral:rRNA from 1 species